GAGUGGAACGAUAUCGACCCAGGUGCAUGACAUGCGUCUUCUAGCUGCUACAGAGUCCUACACUACUUUUCUUUUUUUUUGUUAAUCAGCGUUGUGGGACCUCUUCUCUGUGCAUCAUGCACAAAAUUAAAACAACAUUCAAUAUUUGGAAUUUUUCAUAUUUCAGCAACUUUUGAAUCAAGCCUUCCCAACACGGUUAGUGACCUAGCGGUUAUCCACCUAUAUACGGAGUAUCUUCUUACUUCUGCCAUUCAUCUUUUCUUCAAUUUCUUGCUUGAUCUCUUCAUUUCUGGUUUUCAGAUGCAAGCAUGGAUACAUCAACACAUGAUGCAGCUGCAUCAAACAUCAACAAACACAACAAACACAGCAACAAACACAGCAGUGCCUUGCUUGCUGCUUUGAUGACUCAACUGCUCCAACUUAAAGAUCGAAGUACACAGAUUGCUGACAUGUAAUCAUUGUACAUGGAUUGCUGACAUGUACUAAGUAGUUAGUUACAAGCAGUAGGUUGUUAUAACUAACUUUGGUCAUUCUGAUCAAAGCAUCUUGUAUCCUAUGCAUCUAGUAUAAAAGCAAAGUUGAUUGAUAGCUUUUUGUAGUUUGUAAUAAGAGUUAAUUCUCUCAAUAAAACUCUCUCCCUCUC